rnacentral:lncRNA from 1 species
AACCACAGAACCACAAGUUGGGUAGCCUGGCAGUGUCAGAAGUCUGAGCCCAGCAUAGUGGUCAGCAGGCAGGACCAAUCACACUGGCUGCAAACCACAGGGUUUCAUAGAACAUCAUCAAGCCACGGCCAAGACGCCGCUCUUUUUUUUUUUAAAUCUUUAACAAUUUGAAUAUUUGUCUUCGCGAAGGUAGAAGAAAUCAUUGAAUCCCCCGCCUUCAGAAGAGGGUGCCUUUUCAGGAGGAAGCGAUGGCUUCAGACAGCAUAUUUGAGUCAUUUCCUUCAUACUCACAGUGCUUCAUGAGAGAGAGCCCCUGUCUGUUUUGUGGGAGGAAUUCAAACUCGGGCAUAUGAUUACAAGGCUAUUGGAUUACUUAUUCAUCAGAUGGCUGCUUUUCAGAAAUGUUUUAAGAAAUACCGUGUUAAGCUGUUGACGUGUUCCGUCGGUGCGUGAGCGCUUUGUCAAGUUCAAAUGAAUUAGGCUGCUCCCGAUGAAAAGCCUAGAGAUUAUAAAGCCUGCAGGAAGCUCUCUGUGUUUUCUUUGGUUGCCCCUGGCCUGAGAGGACGGUGGCUGAGUUGUCCUGAGUUCGGCGUGCUGUGUGGCCCACACCCCAGCCUGGCCAGAGCUUUAGCGGGGCACAUGCACAGCCGGCCAAGGAGGGCUGGUGCCAGGGUGGUGCGGAGGCGGAGGUAGGCUUCCAGCCCGGGGAAGGAACAGCGGGGACAAAGUUGUAAGUCAGUUGUCUCCAAAAGGCAGAGAGUACAGUAGCCGGACAGGCUGGUCUAGGUUGAAAGCCCCAAGACGGGGCUGUGCUGGGUUACUCCUUGCAACCUCAGUGCAAUGAAGCAGCCGGCAUCUUUCAAGAGAGAAAGCAGAUAAAGCGUACAGAGAUCUCUCUCUCCAAGUGCAAUGAAGGAUUUUCCAAAGUCAAGUGUUUGUGGCUGCCGAAGUCACUAGAUUGCAUGCUUCCUAAAAGAAGUACCUGUCUGCAUUUCUGCAACUGGUCUCUUGAAAUGUGCAAAGCUAUAGUUGAGCUCUAAGUGUGUGAGUACAUGUGGGUGCAUGUGUGUUUUGUGCAUCUUUGGUGGAGAAACAGGGCCGUGCUUAACCAAAUGAAAAUAAUAACAUAGAAAUGUCCCCAAAGCAUUGCAGUGUGUCGAGGCAAGCACUUUGACCGGUGCCUGCAGAGUGUGGCUUGAUGGUUUGGCAGAGUUGAGACAGAGUGGGAUGGAUGGGAUGGGGGGAUAAUUAAUUUUCUGGCUACAAACUCAAGAGCACACCCCAAAUAGUAUCUGUGACUCAUUAUUUAUUCAUACAGCCAAGUGAGCAGAAGAAUGCAGAAGGCAGAGGGCUGCCAGCCACUUUGUCACAACAAACGCUAUUGUGGAUGCCACAGAGCCUCUAUGUUUCCGGGUUUCUUGAAAUUUAAACACUUGGCAAAGAUGUGUGUGUGUGUGUGUGUGUGUGUGUGUGUGUGUGUGUGUGUGGGAAGCAAGCAAGUCAUUAACCGAUUCAAAGCUUCAAAUUAAAGGGUUUUCAAGUGCUUCUUUACUGGCAGCUGAGGACAUUUUAGUGAAGUUGAAUCAUGCGAUGCUUAUGAGUCACACAUCCUCAGGGCGCUGGGCUCCCCAGGCAGAAACGCCAGCCACUGGUGAGAAGCUGUGAACGGCUCUCUCUCUCUCUGCAUUUCCUCUGGGCCGCUAACAAGCAAAGGAAGCAAUAUUUGUAGAAUUACAGAAAAAAAAAAAAAAAAGAUCUUCCUGCUUGACUCUUCUUUCAAUACCCACUCCAACUCAGGAAAGCAGAUUCAGGAAAUUUUUGAAACGUUCCACAGGAUGAUAGAUUGGAAUUCCACGUGGGUGCUGGCCUGCCUUCUGUGCUUCCAGAAUGGACAGAGAUAGCAAGGGGACCUAGUGACCCGCGUAGACGCCGGGAGAGAAGCAGCCCGGCAGCUAAUCCAGCCCCUGCAGCCACUGCGUAAACCUGGACUGUCACUCAUGCCCCCCCACCCCAGGUUAGGAAAUGGGGACAGUUAGCUUUCAAGGGGGGCCAUGUGGAGGGGACUUUAAGACCACCACCCCCAACCAAUACUCAAAAGGCUCAUAGGAAAUGGGCCUUUCAUGCCUUCCUGUCAGUAAAAAGAGCUCAGGGCCUUUCCUAAUCUCUAACUCAAGAACAUAAUAUUGAGAUUUCAUUGCAGAGAAUAAAAGUGAAAACCUUGGCCAUUUCAUAGCUAACUUGACCAAGGUGAUUCAUCAGUCUGAGAGCUUAUACUAUCCGGGCUAACUGUCCAUACCACUCCUCCGAGCUAGAAGGUGCCAAAAUGUCCUGGCUUAGGGGUCCCAUGUGGGCAUCACCUUAGAGCAUGAUGCCAAAUGGUCUCCUCAAAGUUGGGACCUUUGUUUGCCCAGCCUGGCCAUCAGUGGGACUCAGAACUGUGGUCCUUUCUCACUGCCUGUCAUUUAUAGUGCGUGUCCCCUCCCCAACUGCAGCUCUGAGCGAGCAGGG